AAAUAAUCACACAAAUAAAAAUUUACUGAAUGAUUUCAAUUUAUUCAAAAAAAAACAAAAAAAACAUAUAGGUAUUAUUUUUCUACGUUUAAAAAAUGCAGAAUGCAACACAUUCAUUAUCAAAACCUGCAAUUUGUGCGCACAUCGACGAGCUUCUCGUCAAUUUUAUGGCAGGUACGUAUUUAAUGAAAAUAAAAACACCAAAGUGGAAAAGAAAAUAUGAAUUCAACACGCGUGUACUAUCACCAUAUUUACCUCCGUUAAACAGAAUAUUAUUCGUAGAAUUAUUUGCCUCUGAAUUAUCAGAAAGAAACCGAUAAAUGACGGAUAAUUUUACGAAUUAUAUUCGUGUUAAAUAUUACCACUUAUCAACUGUUCAAAUUAACACGCUGAUUGUAAAUAUGCAUUUGUAUGUGACCACGUCUACAGCGAAAACAAGAAUAUCUACAUCAUCGUAAAUUGGCAGAAAACACUGAGAAAAUUUAUCUCAUACAGUAGUUUAUCGUCAUUCGUACAUUAUAAGACGUGCAUCUCAAUUUUUUAAUGGGAAAGUGUUAUUGACUAAUGCGUAAUGCCUUAAUUCUACGUAAGCUACUGAACAGUUCGCGAUUUUUUUAAAUAGCUACAUGAACGAGUAAUUUGAUGCGAUUCUUCAACUGAAAUUUCGGCUUCAGAACGUUCACUUUUCCAGAUGAAAAUGAUCAAAAUGGGCGUCCAUGUGAGCGAGUACCGCUCGAAUAAAUCCGAUGCAUCGAUCAAAUUAUCAGAUCAAAGCAGCAAUAAUCAAAUUGUCCCAAAACUGAUCAACUCCUCCUCAUCAGAGGAAGCAUCACCAGCACCACCGUUGGCACCGUUGGAUUUACAUGAUCUCAAAAUAGAACUGGAAUCGGUACUAGAUAAGAUAUUUCACCUGAAAAACGGAUCAACACAAGGCGACCAUUAUAAAUGUUUGAAUGUUAUUUUGCUGAAGUUUUUAACAUCUCUACGGCGAAUUAGCGAGGUAUCGAAAAUUGACGAAAGUUCUAAAAAUUCUUCUUCGCUUUGUAAUGUUUCGAUGUCAAGUUGAUGGUUUUUAUUUCUAGACUUUGUGUGGAAAGAAUUUUUGUACAGAUGCCUAAUUAUUGAUUUGUACAAAUAAAAUAAUUUUAGAUGGUA